CAAGUACUCUCUCCGUUUAGAAUUACAUGUCUCGGAAAUGGAUGUAUCUAGAACUAAAAUACAUCUAGAUACAUCCAUUUCUGCGACAAGUAAUUCCAAACGGAGGGAGUAGGAG
rfam:Triticum aestivum genome assembly, contig: Triticum_aestivum_CS42_TGACv1_scaffold_433117_5DL